UCACAGAUCAUCUGGUUUCAACCCCCUGCCAUGGACUGGGAUGCCUUCUGCCAGCCCAGAUUGGCUGUUUGCCAUGUGGGAAGUGCAGGCUUUUGCUGAGACUUGGGUAAUGACAGUCUCAUCUGAGAGAUGCCAAGAGUCACUGACCUUCCAUCAAUCAGCACACAGCAGUUUCUCAUUCUUUAGAGUGGAUAUUAAGAUUUGCAAAUAGAAAUUAAAUCCCUCCAGGGGAUUCUCUCCAAGAAGAGAAUGGUUUCCCAGCCAGAAUGCUGAAUCCAAGGCAACUUCUUGUCUUGCCACAGCAGGUUUUUGUCUGCAGUGUGCUUCCUUCUGAUCCAUGGUUCUGCAGGCAUUGUGAGAUGGAGGACUGAGCCUUUGUUCCAGUGGUAGCAGAUAGCACUGCUAUUUGAUGCUUCCACCCUGAAGCACCACCCAGCUGGCUUGGGGACCCCUGCUACAAGGGACAAACUGAGCUCUGCAUCAGGCACUGCUGCUGCACAGGUUUAGCACAAGUUCUUGUCUGCCUUUGUGGGCCUUGGUGCUGUGACUGCACGAUAGGCAUGCUCUAGAGCUACUGCCGUGCCUGCCGUCCGACCAGAAUCUGUCUAAAGGCAGUGGAUCUUGGAUUUCACAUCAACAGUAGAGGUCUAAAAGUGUCAUUGUAUCCUGCACAGUGUAUCCAAACUGUGAUCUUGUGGAAUGGACUCAUAAACCAAGACUUUAUGAUACUUGCACUGAGUGCAGUGUAAAAGCAUAUUGUGUUCAUCCUUUUCUUUCUAUGUCUAAUGGUUGUCCUUGAAACCUUGCAGGAGGUGUUGUUAUCUAACUGAAAUACAUUGCUAUGAGAGCUUGCUACGCUGCACUGGGCUCUUUAGAAAGCUUUUACCAUUUCAUAAUUUAAAUGUAUGUUUGUCCCUCUUUAAUUGAAAAGUUGUUAGGAGUGAAAGGCUUGUGUGUCUGAAUUGCUUGAAGGCUGCUUUGACUUUUGGUUGCCGAGGAAACCAUUUUAAUGUAGAACUGUAUUCCAAUAACUUCAAAGUCUCUGUUCUGUUAUGGUUUGUGUGUUCCUUGGGAUGAGAGCUGUUUCAGUGGGAAGCUGUUUCAAAGUAGCUUAGUUCGAUCUGGGUUUGGCAUAUCUAAAAAGUGCUGAUGGGGCUUCAAAGUUCAGCUGGCAUUGUAAU